CAUUCGAUAGCACAGUUGGUAGAGCGGGGGACUGUAGAUUUAUAAUUGUGAUCCCUAGGUCGCUGGUUCGAAUCCGGCUCGAAGGA
rnacentral:tRNA from 2 species